UCCAUUACUGUUCCGGAAAAGGGACUUCUCCCAAGUGAGGGGGAUCUGACUUGAAGCAAGAAAAGAGAAGCAAAACCUCUGUGUCAACACCCCAGAGACCAUCUAGAGACUCAGCUUUACUUAUGAAGACAGGAAAGAAAUGCAAAUAAUUGAGAGUCCAUGGAGCCAACAUGUGUGUGUUCCUGCAGCAACACUCAGUCCUCAUCCUGCCCAGCACUUUGGUAUUCAAAUUUGUCACCUCAGAAAGCUGUGGUUCUGCUGAGACCCUCUGGUCCCCCGACAGCAGCAGGAUAUUGAAGGAUUUGAGCUGUGAUCUCCAAGCAGCCACAACCCCCUGCUCUAACCCCUUUCAUUUCCACCCCAGAUACGGCUCCUUCAGCCCUACAUUUCCUCCAGGGAUGUGCAAAGAACAGACAGAGGUUGGAAUUGCUGCUGUGUGAGAAAGAGGCCCAGGUUCUGUGCAAGGUGGUGCUGGAGCUAUCCUUUGGUGAGU